CAUCAACAGUGGGAAUGUCAACAUGCUCAACAGAGGACAUCCCAGAAAAAUCAGGCAUUUCUUCAUCCUGGUAGGGAGCAGCAUCCUCAGCAACAUUUUGAGAAGCAUUGUCUGAGACAGUAGGUGCAACAGCAUUUUCAGGAACAUGUGCAGCAACAUCUUCGGAAACAGGAUGUUGAGAGGAAAUUGCUGCCAUGUUGGACUGAAAU
rnacentral:lncRNA from 1 species